GCCGUGUCCCUGCGCUCCAUCGGUCAGCGGGCGCGGGCCCGCAGGAUGGAGCCGCAGCACGUGCGCCCCGUGCUUGGAUCCCAGAGCCCAGCCUGGGAGGAACCGAAAAUCUUCAGUACUCGUCUCGCAACAUGAACGUUUAAAGCUAAAACCUUCACAGAGAUGUGAGAUGGAGCAGGAGCAGUGGCUAAAUGUUGAACUCUUCAAAACUUGGCGUAUGGGCUGCUGGUGUACCACCAUCAUCCCCAACACUCCUGUUCAGAAGAUGGGUGAGGAAAGUGGAAAGUCUAAUCAGUCAGCCGAUGACCAGUGGGAAAAAUGAGCUACAAGAUCACCUGAUCUUCAUCAGUGAGAAAGCUUUGCACAAGAGGGUCUGCUAGAAAUACUUCAACCCAAAAUUCCAAAAUGACUAAGAAGAGAUCAAAAAUAAAUGAACUAGAAGAACUGAAAUUGGAUAUGAGGAAGAUCAGCAAUGACAUGGAGGAAAUGUGUGGAAUCCUGAACCUUUACAUGUAUGAGGAUUUGAACUACAGGAUGAACACUGAAUUCAACAUCAUUAAAUCACAACAUGAGAAGACAAUGUUGGAUAUGAAUAAAAUGAUCCAGUCCAUAAUUGUUUCCAUGCAGUACUCCAAGGAACUGAUAGAAGAUAACUAUUCCUACAGCAUUAAGGAGGACCACCUCCUCCGUGAGUGCACUCAACUCCACGAAAAUGUAAGGAUAUUACUGAAUGAGAACAGAAGGCUGCUGGUGGAUCAGGCUGGCCACAAGUGUCCUGUGGGGAAGAAAAGAGGUUCUCUGAGGAGGCCAGCAAGAACAUCUGUGUCCCAAGUGCCAAGGAACACCAGUGUGAAAUAG